GACGAACGCUGGCGGCGUGCCUAAUACAUGCAAGUAGAACGCUGAAGAGAGGAGCUUGCUCUUCUUGGAUGAGUUGCGAACGGGUGAGUAACGCGUAGGUAACCUGCCUUGUAGCGGGGGAUAACUAUUGGAAACGAUAGCUAAUACCGCAUAACAAUGGAUGACACAUGUCAUUUAUUUGAAAGGGGCAAUUGCUCCACUACAAGAUGGACCUGCGUUGUAUUAGCUAGUAGGUGAGGUAAUGGCUCACCUAGGCGACGAUACAUAGCCGACCUGAGAGGGUGAUCGGCCACACUGGGACUGAGACACGGCCCAGACUCCUACGGGAGGCAGCAGUAGGGAAUCUUCGGCAAUGGGGGCAACCCUGACCGAGCAACGCCGCGUGAGUGAAGAAGGUUUUCGGAUCGUAAAGCUCUGUUGUAAGUCAAGAACGGGUGUGAGAGUGGAAAGUUCACACUGUGACGGUAGCUUACCAGAAAGGGACGGCUAACUACGUGCCAGCAGCCGCGGUAAUACGUAGGUCCCGAGCGUUGUCCGGAUUUAUUGGGCGUAAAGCGAGCGCAGGCGGUUUGAUAAGUCUGAAGUUAAAGGCUGUGGCUCAACCAUAGUUCGCUUUGGAAACUGUCAAACUUGAGUGCAGAAGGGGAGAGUGGAAUUCCAUGUGUAGCGGUGAAAUGCGUAGAUAUAUGGAGGAACACCGGUGGCGAAAGCGGCUCUCUGGUCUGUAACUGACGCUGAGGCUCGAAAGCGUGGGGAGCGAACAGGAUUAGAUACCCUGGUAGUCCACGCCGUAAACGAUGAGUGCUAGGUGUUGGAUCCUUUCCGGGAUUCAGUGCCGCAGCUAACGCAUUAAGCACUCCGCCUGGGGAGUACGACCGCAAGGUUGAAACUCAAAGGAAUUGACGGGGGCCCGCACAAGCGGUGGAGCAUGUGGUUUAAUUCGAAGCAACGCGAAGAACCUUACCAGGUCUUGACAUCCCGAUGCUAUUUCUAGAGAUAGAAAGUUACUUCGGUACAUCGGUGACAGGUGGUGCAUGGUUGUCGUCAGCUCGUGUCGUGAGAUGUUGGGUUAAGUCCCGCAACGAGCGCAACCCCUAUUGUUAGUUGCCAUCAUUCAGUUGGGCACUCUAGCGAGACUGCCGGUAAUAAACCGGAGGAAGGUGGGGAUGACGUCAAAUCAUCAUGCCCCUUACGACCUGGGCUACACACGUGCUACAAUGGUUGGUACAACGAGUUGCGAGUCGGUGACGGCGAGCUAAUCUCUUAAAGCCAAUCUCAGUUCGGAUUGUAGGCUGCAACUCGCCUACAUGAAGUCGGAAUCGCUAGUAAUCGCGGAUCAGCACGCCGCGGUGAAUGCGUUCCCGGGCCU
rnacentral:rRNA from 1 species